rnacentral:rRNA from 1 species
CCCUUAGAUGUUCUGGGCCGCACGCGCGCUACACUGACGAAUGCAACGAGCUUAUAACCUUGGCCGAAAGGUCUGGGUAAUCUCCAAAUUUCGUCGUGAUGGGGAUAGAUUAUUGCAAUUAUUAAUCUUCAACGAGGAAUGCCUAGUAAGCGCAAGUCAUCAGCUUGCGUUGAUUACGUCCCUGACCUUUGUACACACCGCCCGUCGCUCCUACCGAUUGAAUGGUCCGGUGAAGCGUUCGGACCGUGGCCUUUGGACGGUUCGCCGUCUGUUGGCUGCGGGAAGUUCGUUAAACCUUAUCAUUUAGAGGAAGGAGAAGUCGUAACA